UGCCUAAUACAUGCAAGUCGAACGCUUCUUUCCUCCCGAGUGCUUGCACUCAAUUGGAAAGAGGAGUGGCGGACGGGUGAGUAACACGUGGGUAACCUACCCAUCAGAGGGGGAUAACACUUGGAAACAGGUGCUAAUACCGCAUAACAGUUUAUGCCGCAUGGCAUAAGAGUGAAAGGCGCUUUCGGGUGUCGCUGAUGGAUGGACCCGCGGUGCAUUAGCUAGUUGGUGAGGUAACGGCUCACCAAGGCCACGAUGCAUAGCCGACCUGAGAGGGUGAUCGGCCACACUGGGACUGAGACACGGCCCAGACUCCUACGGGAGGCAGCAGUAGGGAAUCUUCGGCAAUGGACGAAAGUCUGACCGAGCAACGCCGCGUGAGUGAAGAAGGUUUUCGGAUCGUAAAACUCUGUUGUUAGAGAAGAACAAGGACGUUAGUAACUGAACGUCCCCUGACGGUAUCUAACCAGAAAGCCACGGCUAACUACGUGCCAGCAGCCGCGGUAAUACGUA
rnacentral:rRNA from 1 species